AACUGUGGCAAACGUCUUUCGCAGAAGAAACUGCAGGGAAAACUACGCCAGGCAAAGAAAGAUUACAAGCGCUAUGUCGAGAAAACUCGACAGGCAGAUUUGGAAUUGGAAAGGUUUCAAGAACAAAAAGUUGAUCAAGAAAUCGGCAACGAAAUCUUCAAGAAACCUGAAAACAAUGAGCGAGCAAACAUGGAG